AGAAUCAACGCUGGCGGCGUGCCUAACACAUGCAAGUCGCACGAGAAAGGGUAGCAAUACCUGAGUAAAGUGGCGCACGGGUGAGUAACACGUGACUAAUCUACCCUCGAGUGGGGAAUAACUGAGAGAAAUCUCAGCUAAUACCGCAUAACACUUACGAGUCAAAGCAGAAAUGCGCUUGGGGAGGAGGUCGCGGCCGAUUAGCUAGUUGGCGGGGUAAUGGCCCACCAAGGCGAUGAUCGGUA
rnacentral:rRNA from 1 species